rnacentral:rRNA from 1 species
UACGAAGGUGGCAAGCGUUGUUCGGAUUUACUGGGCGUACAGGGAGCGUAGGCGGUUCGGUAAGCCCUCUGUGAAAUCCUCCAAGCUUAACCUGGAACAGUCCGGAGGGGACUGCUGGGCUAGAGGACGGGAGAGGAGCGCGGAAUUCCCGGUGUAGCGGUGAAAUGCGUAGAGAGUCGGGAGGAAGGCCGGUGGCGAAGGCGGCGCUCUGGAACGUUUCUGACGCUGAGGCUCGAAGCGUGGGGAGCAAACAGG